GAAUGUGACUAUCUUAGAGCCACUGCCCUCCCUCGCCUUCAAAUUUCCACUGUGGUGGAUACAAAAACUGGGAAGGGAAUCAAGAGUAGUGUAAGGACGAGCUCUGGCAUGUUUCUGAGUUCUGAAGAAAAGAAGCGUCCAAUGAUACAGGCAAUUGAAAAAAGGAUAUCAGUCUAUUCUCAAGUGCCAAUAGAAAAUGGGGAGCUUAUCCAAGUUUUAAGGUAUGAAAAGAGUCAGUUUUACAAGCCCCAUCAUGACUAC
rnacentral:misc_RNA from 1 species